AUGGACGCGACAGCCACCUUGAUGGUACUGGAGGACUGCCCUGAGGGUUAUACAGGUGGGGAAAGGAAGGUGCACUGUGAGCCCAUCCACUUCCUCUGUAAACUUGGGUCAAAGGCAGUCAUGGGUCACCUGUAUGGCAUGAGCUCCCAGCCUCCCUCAGCACCAGCGGGCUGGACCACCACCCCUGCCUCAUUCCCUAACCCCGUCAAUAAGCAACCAUCAGGAUCGCUGUCCUCAGCUGGAACCAUAGCGGCUGUCGAAGAGAAGAAAAAGAAGGUUCCUGCUGUGCCAGAAACCCUUAAGAAAAAGCGAAAGAAUUUCGCAGAGCUGAAGAUCAAACGUCUGAGAAAGAAAUAUGCCCAAAAGAUGCUUCGAAAGGCAAGGAGGAAGCUUAUCUAUGAAAAAGCUAAGCAUUAUCAUAAAGAAUACAGGCAGAUGUACAGAACUGAGAUUCGGAUGGCUAGGAUGGCAAGAAAAGCCGGCAACUUUUAUGUACCUGCAGAACCAAAAUCGGCAUUUGUCAUCAGGAUCAGAGGUAUCAAUGGUGUGAGUCCAAAGGUCCGAAAAGUGUUGCAGCUUCUUCGCCUUCACCAGAUCUUCAAUGGAACUUUUGUUAAGCUCAACAAGGCUUCCAUUAACAUGCUGAGGAUUGUAGAACCGUAUAUUGCAUGGGGGUACCCAAAUCUGAAGUCAGUAAAUGAGCUAAUCUACAAGCGUGGUUAUGGCAAAAUCAGUAAGAAACGAAUUGCGUUGACUGAUAACAGUUUGAUUGCGUGAUCUCUUGGUAAAUAUGGCAUCAUCUGCAUGGAGGAUCUGAUUCAUGAGAUCUAUACUGUUGGAAAACGCUUCAAAGAAGCAAAUAACUUCUUGUGGCCCUUUAAGUUAUCAUCUCCACGGGGAGGGAUGAAGAAAAAAACAACCCACCUUGUAGAAGGUGGAGAUGCUGGUAAUAGGGAAGAUCAAAUCAAUAGGCUUAUUAGAAGAAUGAACUAA